rnacentral:lncRNA from 1 species
UUCCAAAAGACCAUGGAGAUGUCUGGCUGCUAUAGAUACCCCAGAAAGUCACUCACCAAACAAAUUCGGAAAAAUUGGAAAAAUUAACAUUGCAUUGGGCAUUCUGGGAAACCAGGGCCAAGAAGUUUAGGCUCUCGCUGACAGUUAUAUUCAUUCUGGAGCCACAAAGUCCUCCUGUUUAAUUAAGUGCUGAGAGUUGGGGACUCGCUUAAUGACUGGAUUGCCUCUUGUUCCCAGCACAAAAAAGUGGACCAACAUCUGCAUGGUCUUCUCCAGGUAGGAGAGAGCAGAUGGUUUAAGCCUUUGCCAGGAGGCCUCAUUCACACGCUGGAUUUUAAGGCAUCGUGGUGCUUGUGAGGUGCUUGGUGAGUCUCAGUCAAAUGCUUCUUUGUAAGGCGUGGUAUGAAGGGGUCACUUAGAAGGUGAGCAAGACAUUAAAUGCUCCAUUUCCUCACUGUGAGGUAACACUCUGCAGUCAAACCAGGAGGAGGGAUUUAUUUCAUUUGCUCCUGAAGUUAAAUCUCAUGAAAUCAUGUGAAAUUCAGUGAUGUGUUACUGGGAACAAAAAGGGUUACGUUAUUAAUUGUGAUGCCUUCCCACAAGAGCUGUGUCUGUACUGUGCCACAUAACCCCUGAAGCUGAAUAAAGAACUUUCUCCUUGAUUCCCCCAGCCCUCCAAAAACAUCAGGUGAUGAGGUCCCAUUGUAAAUGACCCAAGGACAAACAGCUCAUGACUUCAAAGGAGGCCUCUUCAACCCAGGGCAAAUUCAGGCCUUCAUUCCAGGGGUCUGUAAGCAAGUACUGAGUGAAGAGAUAUCCUAAAAUCAAUCGUUCCUCUUUGCCAACCCUGGAUAAUGGCAACAACUUCUUUAGUGGCAUGCUGCAUGCUCUGUUUGGUCAUGUCCAGAGAUACCCAAGAUAAAGAAGUUUGAUAAAUAUACACAUUAACUCAGCAAAAAUAACAUGGUUAUUUUCAUGAAUAUUGCACUUGGGCACAUCAGCAAAAUUCAAAAGUGAUAAAAGAAAAAUUGUUGCCUGUCAAAAAG